rnacentral:rRNA from 1 species
AGAGUUUGAUCCUGGCUCAGGAUGAACGCUGGCGGCGUGCCUAAUACAUGCAGGUCGAGCGAACCACUUCGGUGGUGAGCGGCGAACGGGUGAGUAACACGUAGGUGAUCUGCCCAUCAGACGGGGACAACGAUUGGAAACGAUCGCUAAUACCGGAUAGGACGAAAGUUUAAAGGUGCUUCUGGCACCGCUGAUGGAUGAGCCUGCGGCGCAUUAGCUAGUUGGUAGGGUAAAGGCCUACCAAGGCGACGAUGCGUAGCCGACCUGAGAGGGUGAACGGCCACACUGGGACUGAGACACGGCCCAGACUCCUACGGGAGGCAGCAGUAGGGAAUCUUCGGCAAUGGGCGAAAGCCUGACCGAGCAACGCCGCGUGAAUGAUGAAGGCCUUCGGGUUGUAAAAUUCUGUUAUAAGGGAAGAACGACUUUAGUAGGAAAUGGCUGGAGUGUGGCGGUACCUUAUGAGAAAGCCACGGCUAACUACGUGCCAGCAGCCGCGGUAAUACGUAGGUGGCGAGCGUUAUCCGGAAUUAUUGGGCGUAAAGAGCGCGCAGGUGGUUGAUUAAGUCUGAUGUGAAAGCCCACGGCUUAACCGUGGAGGGUCAUUGGAAACUGGUCGACUUGAGUGCAGAAGAGGGAAGUGGAAUUCCAUGUGUAGCGGUGAAAUGCGUAGAGAUAUGGAGGAACACCAGUGGCGAAGGCGGCUUCCUGGUCUGUAACUGACACUGAGGCGCGAAAGCGUGGGGAGCAAACAGGAUUAGAUACCCUGGUAGUCCACGCCGUAAACGAUGAGUGCUAAGUGUUGGGGGUCGAACCUCAGUGCUGAAGUUAACGCAUUAAGCACUCCGCCUGGGGAGUACGGUCGCAAGACUGAAACUCAAAGGAAUUGACGG